GAUGAACGCUAGCGGGAGGCUCAACACAUGCAAGUCGAGCGGUAGGGCAGCAAUGCCUGAGAGCGGCGCACGGGUGCGUAACGCGUAUGCAACCUGCCUUAUACAGGGGAAUAGCCCAUGGAAACGUGGAUUAAUGUCCCAUAGGAUUACGGAUUCGCAUGGAUUUGUGAUUAAAGCUGAGGUGGUAUAAGAUGGGCAUGCGUCUGAUUAGGUAGUUGGUAGGGUAAUGGCCUACCAAGCCGACGAUCAGUAGGGGUUCUGAGAGGAUUACCCCCCACACUGGUACUGAGACACGGACCAGACUCCUACGGGAGGCAGCAGUGAGGAAUAUUGGUCAAUGGCCGGAAGGCUGAACCAGCCAUCCCGCGUGCAGGAUGACGGCCCUAUGGGUUGUAAACUGCUUUUGUACCUGAAGAAACCUGUUUACGAGUAGACAGUUGCCGGUAAGGUAUGAAUAAGCAUCGGCUAACUCCGUGCCAGCCGCCGCGGUAAAAC
rnacentral:rRNA from 1 species